UACGAAGGGGGCGAGCGUUGCUUCGGAAUUACUGGGCGUAAAGGGCGCGCAGGCGGCCUUAGAAGUCAGAUGUGAAAGCCCCCGGGCUCAACCUGGGAAUGGCAUUUGAUGCUCUGAGGCUGGAGUACGGGAGAGGUGAGUGGAAUUCCGAGUGUAGAGGUGAAAUUCGUAGAUAUUCGGAGGAACACCAGUGGCGAAGGCGGCUCACUGGCUCGGUACUGACGCUGAGGUGCGAAAGCGUGGGGAGCAAACAGG
rnacentral:rRNA from 1 species